rnacentral:rRNA from 1 species
AACGAACGCUGGCGGCAGGCUUAACACAUGCAAGUCGAGCGGGCCCUUCGGGGUCAGCGGCAGACGGGUGAGUAACACGUGGGAACGUACCCUUUUCUACGGAAUAACGCAGGGAAACUUGUGCUAAUACCGUAUACGCCCUAUUGGGGAAAGAUUUAUCGGAGAAGGAUCGGCUCGCGUUGGAUUAGCUAGUUGGUGGGGUAAAGGCCUACCAAGGCGACGAUCCAUAGCUGGUCUGAGAGGAUGAUCAGCCACAUUGGGACUGAGACACGGCCCAAACUCCUACGGGAGGCAGCGGUGGGGAAUAUUGGACAAUGGGCGCAAGCCUGAUCCAGCCAUGCCGCGUGAGUGAUGAAGGCCUUAGGGUUGUAAAGCUCUUUCACCGAUGAAGAUAAUGACGGUAGUCGGAGAAGAAGCCCCGGCUAACUUCGUGCCAGCCGCCGCCGUAACAC